rnacentral:rRNA from 1 species
UACGUAGGGCGCAAGCGUUGUCCGGAAUUAUUGGGCGUAAAGAGCUCGUAGGCGGUCUGUCGCGUCUGCUGUGAAAACUCAGGGCUUAACCCUGGGCUUGCAGUGGGUACGGGCAGACUAGAGUGCGGUAGGGGAGACUGGAAUUCCUGGUGUAGCAGUGAAAUGCGCAGAUAUCAGGAGGAACACCGAUGGCGAAGGCAGGUCUCUGGGCAUUAACUGACGCUGAGGAGCGAAAGCAUGGGGAGCGAACAGG